GGAAGUGAGGGCAAUCUGGCUGCAACAUCUGUCACCCCAUUGAUCGCCAGGGUUGAUUCAGCUGAUCUGGCUGGCUAGGCGGGUGCCCCCUUCCUCCCUCACUGCUCCAUGUGCAUCCCUCCCAAAGCUACGUGCUUGGUCAAAGAGGACAACCUUACCCCAAUAGAGGAGGACCCAUCUUCAGUCAAGGGUAUACAAGUAGCUGCGCUCCCCUGCUAGAACCUCCAAACAAGAUCUCAAAUGUCCUUUCCAAAAGCAGUGAAACUAAUUUCUUUCUUUCUUAGACCUUUUAAAACUUGUUAUUUA
rnacentral:snRNA from 1 species